rnacentral:rRNA from 1 species
AUUGAACGCUGGCGGCAUGCUUUACACAUGCAAGUCGAACGGCAGCGCGGGCUUCGGCCUGGCGGCGAGUGGCGAACGGGUGAAUAAUGCAUCGGAACGUGCCCAGUAGUGGGGGAUAGCCCGGCGAAAGCCGGAUUCAUACCGCAUACGACCUGAGGGUGAAAGCGUGGGACCGAAAGGCCUCGCGCUAUUGGAGCGGCCGAUGUGGGAUUAGCUAGUUGGUGGGGUAAAGGCUUACCAAGGCGACGAUCCGUAGAUGGUCUGAGAGGACGACCGGCCAAACUGAGACUGAGAAACGGCCCAGACGCCUACGGGAGGCAGCAGGGGGGAAUUUUGAACAAUGGGGGCAACCAUGAUCCAGCCAUGCCGCGGGAGGGAAGAAGGCCUUCGGGUGGUAAACCGAUUUUGUGCGGGAAGAAAGCCUCUGGGCUAAUACCCCGGGGGGAUGACGGUACCGGAAGAAUAAGCACCGGCUAACUACGU